GGAGGCAGCAGUGGGGAAUUUUGGACAAUGGGGGCAACCCUGAUCCAGCAAUGCCGCGUGUGUGAAGAAGGCCUUCGGGUUGUAAAGCACUUUUGUCCGGAAAGAAAACUUCGUCCCUAAUAUGGAUGGAGGAUGACGGUACCGGAAGAAUAAGCACCGGCUAACUACGUGCCAGCAGCCGCGGUAAUACGUAGGGUGCGAGCGUUAAUCGGAAUUACUGGGCGUAAAGCGUGCGCAGGCGGUGAUGUAAGACCGAUGUGAAAUCCCCGGGCUUAACCUGGGAACUGCAUUGGUGACUGCAUUGCUGGAGUAUGGCAGAGGGGGGUGGAAUUCCCGUGUAGCAGUGAAAUGCGUAGAGAUGUGGAGGCACGAUGGCGAAGGCAGCCCCCUGGGCCAAUACUGA
rnacentral:rRNA from 1 species